ACGUGGUUGAUAGGCUGGAUGUGGAAGCCCUGUAAGGGGUGGAGCUGACCAGUACUAAUGGGCGAUUGUGA
rnacentral:rRNA from 1 species